rnacentral:rRNA from 1 species
UACGGAGGGUGCAAGCGUUAUCCGGAUUCACUGGGUUUAAAGGGUGCGUAGGUGGGUUGGUAAGUCAGUGGUGAAAUCUCCAGGCUUAACUUGGAAACUGCCAUUGAUACUAUCAAUCUUGAAUACCGUGGAGGUCAGCGGAAUAUGUCAUGUAGCGGUGAAAUGCUUAGAUAUGACAUAGAACACCAAUUGCGAAGGCAGCUGGCUACACAAAUAUUGACACUGAGGCACGAAAGCGUGGGGAUCAAACAGG